AUGGGGUGACUGCGUACCUUUUGUAUAAUGGGUCAGCGACUUAUAUUCUGUAGCAAGGUUAACCGUAUAGGGGAGCCGUAGGGAAACCGAGUCUUAACUGGGCGAAUGAGUUGCAGGGUAUAGACCCGAAACCCGGUGAUCUAUCCAUGGGCAGGUUGAAGGUUGGGUAACACUAACUGGAGGACCGAACCGACUAAUGUUGAAAAAUUAGCGGAUGACUUGUGGAUGGGGGUGAAAGGCCAAUCAAACCGGGAGAUAGCUGGUUCUCCCCGAAAGCUAUUUAGGUAGCGCCUCGUGAACUCAUCUUCGGGGGUAGAGCACUGUUUCGACUAGGGGGUCAUCCCGACUUACCAACUCGAUGCAAACUGCGAAUACCGAAGAAUGUUAUCACGGGAGACACACGGCGGGUGCUAACGUCCGUCGUGAAGAGGGAAACAACCCAGACCGCCAGCUAAGGUCCCAAAGUCAUGGUUAAGUGGGAAACGAAGUGGGAAGGCUCAGACAGCCAGGAUGUUGGCUUAGAAGCAGCCAUCAUUUAAAGAAAGCGUAAUAGCUCACUGGUCGAGUCGGCCCGCGCGGAAGAUGUAACGGGGCUAAACCAUGCACCGAAGCUGCGGCAGCGACACAAAGUGUUGUUGGGUAGGGGAGCGUUCUGUAAGCCUGCGAAGGUGUACUGUGAGGUAUGCUGGAGGUAUCAGAAGUGCGAAUGCUGACAUAAGUAACGAUAAUGCGGGUGAAAAACCCGCACGCCGGAAGACCAAGGGUUCCUGUCCAACGUUAAUCGGGGCAGGGUGAGUCGACCCCUAAGGCGAGGCUGAAAAGCGUAGUCGAUGGGAAACGGGUUAAUAUUCCCGUACUGGUGGUAACUGCGAUGGGGGAACGGAGAAGGCUAGGUUGUCCGGGCGACGGUCGUCCCGGUUCAAGCAGGUAGGCAGAGUGAUUAGGCAAAUCCGGUCACUUAAUGCUGAGAUGUGAUGACGAACCACCAAGGUGGUGAAGCAAUUGAUGCCCCGCUUCCAGGAAAAGCCUCUAAGCUUCAGGUUACCAACAAUCGUACCCCAAACCGACACAGGUGGUCAGGUAGAGAAUACUCAGGCGCUUGAGAGAACUCGGGUGAAGGAACUAGGCAAAAUGGUGCCGUAACUUCGGGAGAAGGCACGCUGGCGGUAGGUAAAGUCCCUCGCGGACAGAGCUGAAGCCAGUCGAAGAUACCAGCUGGCUGCAACUGUUUAUUAAAAACACAGCACUGUGCAAACACGAAAGUGGACGUAUACGGUGUGACGCCUGCCCGGUGCUGGAAGGUUAAUUGAUGGGGUUAGCGUAAGCGAAGCUCCUGAUCGAAGCCCCAGUAAACGGCGGCCGUAACUAUAACGGUCCUAAGGUAGCGAAAUUCCUUGUCGGGUAAGUUCCGACCUGCACGAAUGGCGUAAUGAUGGCCAGGCUGUCUCCACCCGAGACUCAGUGAAAUUGAACUCGCUGUGAAGAUGCAGUGUACCCGCGGCAAGACGGAAAGACCCCGUGAACCUUUACUAUAGCUUGACACUGAACAUUGAGCCUUGAUGUGUAGGAUAGGUGGGAGGCUUUGAAGUGUGGACGCCAGUCUGCAUGGAGCCAACCUUGAAAUACCACCCUUUAACGUUUGAUGUUCUAACCUAGGCCCAUAAACUGGGUCGGGGACCGUGUCUGGUGGGUAGUUUGACUGGGGCGGUCUCCUCCUAAAGAGUAACGGAGGAGCACGAAGGUUGGCUAAGCAUGGUCGGACAUCAUGCGGUUAGUGCAAAGGCAUAAGCCAGCUUGACUGCGAGAGUGACGGCUCGAGCAGGUACGAAAGUAGGUCUUAGUGAUCCGGUGGUUCUGAAUGGAAGGGCCAUCGCUCAACGGAUAAAAGGUACUCCGGGGAUAACAGGCUGAUACCGCCCAAGAGUUCAUAUCGACGGCGGUGUUUGGCACCUCGAUGUCGGCUCAUCACAUCCUGGGGCUGAAGUAGGUCCCAAGGGUAUGGCUGUUCGCCAUUUAAAGUGGUACGCGAGCUGGGUUUAGAACGUCGUGAGACAGUUCGGUCCCUAUCUGCCGUGGGCGUUGGAAGAUUGAGAGGGGUUGCUCCUAGUACGAGAGGACCGGAGUGAACGCACCACUGGUGUUCGGGUUGUCAUGCCAAUGGCAUUGCCCGGUAGCUAAGUGCGGAAGAGAUAACCGCUGAAAGCAUCUAAGCGGGAAACUUGCCUCGAGAUGAGUCUUCCCUGUCGCUUUAAGCGACCUAAAGGAACGUUUAAGACUAAGACGUUGAUAGGCUGGGUGUGUAAGCGUAGCGAUACGUUGAGCUAACCAGUACUAAUGAACCGUGAGGCUUAACCUG
rnacentral:rRNA from 1 species